GGGCGCGCUCGGGUACCUGUACCCCACGUAGUCGCUGGUUACCGAUCGGACUAAAUUCCAGUGGUAAUUUACAAGUCAAGUUAAAAUGUCCCCAGAAGUGGCCUUGAACCGAAUUUCUCCAAUGCUCUCCCCUUUCAUAUCUAGCGUGGUCCGGAAUGGAAAAGUGGGACUGGAUGCUACAAACUGUUUGAGGAUAACUGACUUGAAAUCUGGCUGCACAUCAUUGACUCCUGGGCCCAACUGUGACCGAUUUAAAUUGCACAUACCAUAUGCUGGAGAGACAUUAAAAUGGGAUAUCAUUUUCAAUGCCCAAUACCCAGAGUUGCCUCCUGAUUUUAUCUUUGGAGAGGAUGCUGAAUUCCUGCCAGACCCCUCAGCUUUGCAGAAUCUUGCCUCCUGGAAUCCUUCAAAUCCUGAAUGUCUCUUACUUGUGGUGAAGGAACUUGUGCAACAGUAUCACCAGUUCCAAUGUAGCCGCCUCCGGGAGAGCUCCCGCCUCAUGUUUGAAUACCAGACAUUACUGGAAGAGCCACAAUAUGGAGAGAACAUGGAAAUUUAUGCUGGGAAAAAAAACAACUGGACUGGUGAAUUUUCAGCUCGUUUUCUUUUGAAGUUGCCAGUGGAUUUCAGCAAUAUCCCCACAUAUCUCCUCAAGGAUGUAAAUGAAGACCCUGGCGAAGAUGUGGCCCUCCUCUCUGUUAGUUUCGAGGACACUGAAGCCACCCAGGUAUACCCCAAGCUGUACUUGUCACCUUGAAUUGAGCAUGCACUUGGAGGCUCCUCAGCUCUUCAUAUCCCAGCCUUUCCAGGAGGAGGAUGUCUCAUUGAUUACGUUCCUCAAGUAUGCCACCUGCUCACCAACAAGGUGCAGUACGUGAUUCAAGGAUAUCACAAAAGAAGAGAGUAUAUUGCUGCUUUCCUCAGUCACUUUGGCACAGGUGUCGUGGAAUAUGAUGCAGAAGGCUUUACAAAACUCACUCUGCUGCUGAUGUGGAAAGAUUUUUGUUUUCUUGUACACAUUGACCUGCCUCUGUUUUUUCCUCGAGACCAGCCAACGCUCACAUUUCAGUCUGUCUAUCACUUUACCAACAGUGGACAGCUUUACUCCCAGGCCCAAAAAAAUUAUCCGUACAGCCCCAGAUGGGAUGGAAAUGAAAUGGCCAAAAGAGCAAAGGCUUAUUUCAAAACCUUUGUCCCUCAGUUCCAGGAGGCAGUGUUUGCCAAUGGAAAGCUCUAGGAAACACCAGUCUUGAGAGGUGGCCAGCCAGACUGCCUGUCCACAUGCGUGUCAGCACAUACAGCCGCUUCCUGGAAGCCGCCUGGAAUGUCUUCACGGCAGCGUUUUGCUCACACAGCAGCUUCGCACGCCCCAGGCAGCCCCAACUGCUGAAAUCCAACUUGAGCUGGCUGGUGGUCCCUGAAUCCUAGAGCCCUUCACUUGGGGGUACUCCCUCUUUCUUGCCUCUGUUUCUUAGUUGGAAGAAAUAAACUCACAAAUUAUGGUGCAAAAAAAAAAAA